UGGAAUCAGGUUUUGCAUCUCCGAAUCGGA
rnacentral:piRNA from 1 species